GGCCAGGUAGUCGCCUUCGCCACCGGUAUUCCUCCCGAUAUCUACGAAUUUCACCUCUACACCGGGAAUUCCACUACCCCCUCCAAUACUCAAGCMUGCCAGUUUCAAAUGCACUUCCACGGUUGAGCCGUGGACUUUCACAUCUGACUUAACACGCCGCCUACGCGCGCUUUACGCCCAGUAAUUCCGAACAACGCUUGCWCCCUCCGUAUUACCGCGGCUGCUGGCACGGAGUUAGCCGGUGCUUCCUUUGWUGGUACCGUCAWACUACAGCUGUAUUAGAGCAGUAGCACUUCUUCCCAUCUGACAGGWUUUUACGACCCGGAGCCUUCAUCAUCCACGCGGCGUCGCUGCGUCAGGGUUUCCCCCAUUGCGCAAUAUUCCUCACUGCUGU
rnacentral:rRNA from 1 species